AGAACGAACGCUGGCGGCAGGCCUAACACAUGCAAGUCGAACGCCCCGCAAGGGGAGUGGCAGACGGGUGAGUAACGCGUGGGAACAUACCUUUCGGUUCGGAAUAGCUCAGGGAAACUUGAAUUAAUACCGGAUACGUCCGCAAGGAGAAAGAUUUAUCGCCGAAAGAUUGGCCCGCGUCCGAUUAGCUAGUUGGUGGGGUAAAAGCUUACCAAGGCGACGAUCGGUAGCUGGUCUGAGAGGAUGAUCAGCCACACUGGGACUGAGACACGGCCCAGACUCCUACGGGAGGCAGCAGUGGGGGAUAUUGGACAAUGGGCGCAAGCCUGAUCCAGCCAUGCCGCGUGAGUGAUGAAGGCCCUAGGGUUGUAAAGCUCUUUCGUCAGGGACGAUAAUGACGGUACCUGAAGAAGAAGCCCGGCUAACUUCGUGCCAGCAGCCGC
rnacentral:rRNA from 1 species